rnacentral:rRNA from 1 species
UACGUAGGUGACGAGCGUUAUCCGGAAUACUGGCGUAAGCGCAACGCAAGCGGUUGGACAAGUCUGGCGUGAAAUCCUCUGGCUUAACCAGGGGCGGUCGCUGGAGACUGUUCGGCUUGAGGCGAUGAGAGGGGUGCAGAAUUCCCGGUGUAGUGGUGGAAUGCGUAGAGAUCGGGAGGAAUACCAGUGGCGAAAGCGGCACCCUGGCGUCGUACUGACGCACAUGUGCGAAAGCGUGGGGAGCGAACGGG